GGUAGCUUAGUGGUAGAGCACUUGCCUUGCAUGCAUGAGGGUCUGAGUUUGAUUCCUCAGUGCCA
rnacentral:tRNA from 1 species